GUUAUUCGAGGUGGAAGAUUUCGUACAAUCCACACGCCGAUGGUACUGACAGGGGAAUCCCGAGAGAUGCAGGAGAUUUGUCCCCCUGCCGAAUAAC
rnacentral:ncRNA from 12 species